AAUUACUAAUUUGGGCACCCUGCAGGUCCUGAUGAUGCCAGAUUAGUGAUGGUCAACCUGUAUUAAUAAUUUUAGGUGAUUUGGUGUGGUAGAUCCCCAGGCAUAACUUCCAAAGUACUGUAACUGUUAAUACUAUCCAGGAGUGUUACAUCUCCUAGAUUUUGUGUCACAAAAGCCACAACACAACUGGAGAUACAAAAGUCAACACUUCCCCAAAGGGCCAGCAUCUCUGCAACCAUCAAUAAUAAUGACUUCACCCAGCUCUGGCACCAUCACUCCUCAGCUCACUUUGGAUACUGCUCAGUUGGCACAAACACCCAUGGACCACACAAACAAAGUGACUCUAGCUCCUCGCCGCAUCCAGUCGUAAGUUGCUCUUUUUUGUUUUAAUUUGAAAAUUAUAUUUUAAAUUGUUGUUG